rnacentral:lncRNA from 1 species
AUCGUAAAGUGGAAAAAUAUAGGUCAAGCCAUCGUAAGUCAAGGAAUGUUGGUAUAUCGUAAUGGUGUACAUGAUAUUUUGAAAUAUGUAUACUUUAAUAGCUAUAGUGAGCUAAUUAACAUAUGAAUUGCCUCACAUUCUUAUCAUUUAUUUGUGGUGAGUAGAUAUAAAAUCUACUCUUUUAGCAAUUUUUAAGUAUGCAAUACACUAUUGGAAGGGUCUCUGGCUAAGUUAGUUUUCUUUCUGAACGGACAUUUCUCACUAACAAGUGCAGAAAUUCCCUGUGAACAGGGGAAGCGGUAAUGCUGACAACAAAACUCAGAUGUAAAUUUAGAAUAAAAAAGGGCUCAUGGUUGACUGCUUUGGGCUAUACUUCCAUAAUCUCUCAAAAAAAAAGUAAGGUAUUGUCCUCUGGAGUAUUUUGAUGGAAAAUUUUAGGAAGACUUGAUAAUCUGUAAAAGUUGUAGGCUUGAGAUCCUAAAAGAUCUGUAUCUAAAUUCAUGUAUUCUACAGAAGUUUACUUAAUUACUCCAGGUUUAUUUUUCCUUACUUGUGAGGUAAAUGUUGUAAUACACAUCUACCUCACAAAGGUGUUGUGAGAAUUCAAUGAUAUGUUAUUUAUAAAGAAAGUAUUGAUUACCUUCCUUCUGUCCCAGUGAUAGAUCACAACAAGAGAUCAUGAAGAGGGCAUGGCCGCCAUGUCAUUCUGGAGAGAGACAGAGUAAAACAAAGAAGGUGAUGGCAGCCUCUCUACAAGUCUCCUAACUUAACCUGAUGGGAAAACACUUCCUACCACUAACAGCAUCUACUUGAUUACUGAUACUUUGAUCAUGGAGUUUGGGCAUGCCACUUGAUAGAAAUUUGAAGAGCAAUUAUAUUUUUCAAAAAGAGUUUUGAAUAAUGUUAAGAUAGAUUGCAACAUGACUAUCAAUUCUUCCCUUCCCAUCAAAGGAGAGAGUCCGUUUAUCCAGCCUUUGAAUCUUGAUUAUUCAUGUGACUUGCUUCACCCAAUGUAACAUUAAUAAGCACAAUACAAGCAGAGGCUUGCCAAGAACUUGGUUUGUUUCUAAUGCUUAGAAGAAGAAUGGUGUAUGCCAUAUUUCUGCAUUUAGAACUCACGUGGAGACAUGUGUGGCCCAAUUGCUUCUCUUUCAUCUCAGGCAAUAACCAGACACGGGACUGAGGCCAUCCAUGACCAGCCAGCCCUAGCCAACACACAACACACAAGCUGAUCACAGAUGCAUGAGUAAGCCUGAGACCAGCCAAGACCAGCCUAGAAUAGAACUGCUCAGCAGCAAUAAAAACUAAAUAAAUUGUUACCUUAAGCUACUUUUAGAGCUAUUUGGAAGUGUAUUUUUGUGCAGCUAACAUUUACUAGCAGAUAAAAUGGUGAUUGUUUAUCUCUGUUUUAUUGAUGUUUUAAGGAAAUUGUUUCUAUUAAAAGGAAAUAUCUGGUCUUUGUCACGUUAAA